rnacentral:rRNA from 1 species
AGUGAACGCUGGCGGUAGGCCUAACACAUGCAAGUCGAACGGCAGCACAGUAAGAGCUUGCUCUUACGGGUGGCGAGUGGCGGACGGGUGAGGAAUACAUCGGAAUCUAUUUUUUCGUGGGGGAUAACGUAGGGAAACUUACGCUAAUACCGCAUACGACCUACGGGUGAAAGCAGGGGAUCUUCGGACCUUGCGCGAUCGAAUGAGCCGAUGUCGGAUUAGCUAGUUGGCGGGGUAAAGGCCCACCAAGGCGACGAUCCGUAGCUGGUCUGAGAGGAUGAUCAGCCACACUGGAACUGAGACACGGUCCAGACUCCUACGGGAGGCAGCAGUGGGGAAUAUUGGACAAUGGGCGCAAGCCUGAUCCAGCCAUACCGCGUGGGUGAAGAAGGCCUUCGGGUUGUAAAGCCCUUUUGUUGGGAAAGAAAAGCAGCAGGUUAAUACCCCGCUGUUCUGACGGUACCCAAAGAAUAAGCACCGGCUAACUUCGUG